GAUUCAUUACAAAUCUGAAAUGAUCAAUACAAUAUUUGUUGCUAGAAACUAUUUAAAUCAUUUAUUUUCUUUACACAGAAGUCUCUGUUUUGGCUUCUCAAAUGAAGUACAUGAAUAUAUAUAUAUAUGUGAGUAUAUAUAGAUACACACACCUCCACACGGUCCAACCACAGCAGUUAACGCUCCAAUGAAAGCACAAAAACUCUCAGGAUGUUGUUUUUUUUUCCCCUCCCGAGUAGUGUCAUUCAAACUCCACCCCAAAGCUGCAGCCAUUCAAUAGAGAAGCCUUCUGCUUUCAAUGGUCUGAGCUCGGGCCAAUCACAGCAGCCCCUGCCCCCCCUCGGCUCCCAGGAAUUCAGCCAAUCACGGCAUCCCUCACUCCACACAUGACUAGGUGCCGCUGUCCAUCAACUGCCUCAUAUAUAGUGCAUGCAAGAAAAUGUGGAGCAGUUCAAUAACUUGCGUUGUAGCCAGGCUUCUUGUGUGUGCAUGUGUGUGUGUGUGUGUGUGAUGGUGCUGGCGGUGAGAGAAGGGGGGGGUCAUGGAUGUGGGAAUGCGUGUGCUUGUUUAUUUAUCUAGAAGCACGGAAGGAACGGGAGGUAGGAAGGGCGAGAGAGGGAGAGAAAGAGAAAGAGAUUAGUAAGGCACUUGUAUUUGCAAACUACUGGCCGAGUUCCCACUGGAGGCAGGGAGAUCAGACUCCAAAAACUGUGUGUCAGAAGUGUGUAUCCGCGUGUGUGUCUGAGAAAGAGACAGAGAGAGACAGGCAGACAGAGAGGAACCCGUUCAACCCAUUUCAGCAGCAACUUUUUAGCCUGUCUACACGAAUAUGGAAGCUUUUUCGCUGUCGUGUUUGAUUUUUUUUUUUUUUUUUUCCUGCCAUCCAGUCACCACAGUUUCAGAAGGCUGAACUUCUGGCCACGAUUUAGGCUGCAGGUGAGGGAAGCGUAGGCUCGACGGAGACACAUGAGAUUUUUCUUAGUAGUCUUGCAGAAGGUGCGGAUGAUGACAACCACGAUGCCGCUCACCGCGUCUGCGGGGCUAUUUAAGGAAACCCAAACCUUUGCAUCACCACCUCUUCUAGCUCGCUCCUGCUGGCUUCUCGUCAACGUCACCCGAGCCUCCAAGCAGACAUGGGUGGUAACACAGCUUGGCAUGAAACUGCUCCAUGCAGGCCAAGAGACACACAGGAGCACACACAGAUUGACACACGAGGGAUUGUAAUACGCACGGCUCGCAACUCUAUCUAGCUUGUCUUUCUUAGUGAUGAUUAGCCUUACAAACUGACUAUUUUCCACUGUUGUAACCACCUGCUGACAGCUGAGGUGGACAUUAUAAAACACUGGCAAGUCUGACAUCAUGGCAGACUUGCAAAACCAAAAUAUCUUAUUUGAUUCGAACUGCAGACAUUUAAAAUAUAUGUGGUCUGGGUAGAAACCAGCGAGAGAGGGACAGGCAAGUGUUCCUGUGAUUUUCCAUUCUUCUGAGUCAAACUGCAGCGACAACGAGAGCCUGAAGAUGAACAAAAAUAAACCCAAUAGCUUGCCUUUCCUUUUUCUUUUUUUCUCUGUUGCCUAGGUUGAUUGUUUUUUCUCUGAUGAGUUUAAUUGGUGCCAUCAGUCAAAAGAAACACAUUCCCGGUGACCGUGGGGAACAUUCAACGCUGUCGGUGAGUUUGAGCUCUGACCAAAACCAUCGACCGUUGACUGUGCCCUUAGGCACCACAGCACAUCUUCUGGAAGCCGUCUACAGUGUUUGCGGUGCAGUUCUGAAUUUAUUCAAAAUCCGACGCACAACCACAAUCCGCACCUGGACUCAAACCCGUGACGGUCGGUCGACGGGAUACUGCAGCAUCUCAUCGGGCACCAGCUCAGCCACGACGCAGGAGGUGUUCAGUCUUAAGGCUGCAAUAAACAUUCAUUGCUGUCGGUGGGUUUACACAAGAAUAACUCACUGAUCAAUGAAUGCAGACUGCGGUUCAAACACCCCAGUAACUGAUAAGCUGAGGACAGGCAGCUGAUGUGCUCACAAAGACCUGAUGCUGCAUGUGGAAAUAAAGGUACAUUUUGACACAACUCUACAGGCUGACCUAAGAACGCAACACAAACACAUCUAUAGUAUGGGGUUUACUGAAAUCACUGGACAUCGUAUCAUCAUGUGUGUUAUGGUUGUGCCUACGUGGAAAAAAUAUGUAUUUUCUUUCUACAUAUUCACUGUCAUCCGUACACAUUUUGAGGUAUUUUGUCUCUGUGAAUUUCAACAUGCUGCUAAUGAAAAGCAUUUUACACUUGUGAAAUAUUCAGAUAUUUAAAAAAAAUAAAUAAAUCUCCCCAGAAAUAAAGACGGAGAAAAUUCAAGGAGCGCUCUGCUAACAGACUAUUCUUUCAGUAGAAGGUACAAACUGCAGUGUGGUGGAUCAUCAAGAGUUACAAGGAUGAGGUCUGUGGUUGCAUGAGUCCAUUUAACUCGAAUGUAUUAGGUGGAGGCAGAAAUUUCAGAGGCUGGUAUCUCUAAACGGAAUGAAUAAAAAGCCAUUCUCAUCCCACUAGACCCCAGUAUGGGCAAAUUAGAAAGUAUUAUUUUGUUUAUAAAUUGGCUAAAUUAAACCUUUAAGCUUUUUGGAGUACUACAUUCCCACAUCACAACAGUAAACAAAAUGCAACUGAGCCUUUCAAAUGCUUCAGUUUAUGGCAUCCCAUACACUCUAAAUAUAAGGUUAUAUUCACAUAUAAGUAUCUGGUAGUGUGAAAACUGCACCGUCUUUAUGUUCUGAUCUACACCAAAGAAAAGCAUACCGUUUAUGUGGGAGAAUAUUCCACCUUCCAUACAAUGACCAGUUACACCUCAUUUAUAGUGUGCGUGCAGCCAUCAACCACAGUGAAUGUCUGUUUUUGUUUGAAUUUUUAAUAACAGUCAUUUUCUGCAUUGUGGUCACACAGCUGUCGGUGCAGAUUGACCUGAAACGUCUGCACCGAGCUGCCACAAAGCAAUAACAUAUACUGUCUGACUUCAAACGGGCUUGCUGUGAUGAGUUUGUUAAUCUUGCCUCCGCACACUGUUUUCCACUCUGGAUGAAAAUCAACAACAGCGGUGAAAAGAAAAAUGCAUGUAAAAUUCAUCAAGACUGUGGUAUUCUUAAGACUUAGGGAAACUGACAGCACUCGUGUAAGAAGCUGGGUGAUGUUUGAAAAUGUUCAAUGCUGGUGCUGGUAAGAUAACUCUUUGCUUUGGUACAGACAUCGUCAAAAUGAUAGUGUUCUGAUGAAUUAUGAAACAGUGGUAAAUUGCCAGAAACUGUGAUAAAAAUAAAUAAAUAAAUAAAUAAAAAGGGAUGAAUAUGAUGAGACAUUCAAUGACAUCUUUGACUUUGUUUUUUUUUGUUUGUUUUUUUUUAACCUAUAUGCUUGCAACAGGUUUCAAACUGAGAAUUUUUAAUAUAUGCUCAAUAUGUAAUGUGCAUCACUGUGAUGUAAAGGAGACCUUCACAUGUCAUGUAAGUUGUCCAUAAAAAGCCUAAAAAGCUGGAAGACAAAUUCAUAUUGGACAGGCACUGAAGAGUGUAAUUUGAAUUACCUUUCAUAAUUUGUGAAACAAUGACAUAAUUUACUGAAAGUAAAUAAUUUUUCUUUGUUGUUUUUGGGUUGUAUUUUUAUUAUUAUUUUUGUGUGAAUUUAUUAAAUGCUGCCCCUGUGCAGUAACUGAGGAUUGAA